rnacentral:rRNA from 1 species
GGGGGGGGGGGGGGGGGGGGCUGGUGCGGGCGGGGCGGGCGGACGGGCGGGGAGCUGGCUGCUCUGAUGUUAGCGGCGGACGGGUGAGUAACACGGGGAUAACCUACCUAUAAGACUGGGAUAACUGCGGGAAACCGUAGCUAAUACCGGAUAAUAUUUUGAACCGCAUGGUUCAAAAGUGAAAGACGGUCUUGCUGGCACUUCUAGAUGGAUCCGCGCUGCAUUAGCUAGUUGGUAAGGUAACGGCUUACCAAGGCAACGAUGCAUAGCCGACCUGAGAGGGUGAUCGGCCACACUGGAACUGAGACACGGUCCAGACUCCUACGGGAGGCAGCAGUAGGGAAUCUUCCGCAAUGGGCGAAAGCCUGACGGAGCAACGCCGCGUGAGUGAUGAAGGUCUUCGGAUCGUAAAACUCUGUUAUUAGGGAAGAACAUAUGUGUAAGUAACUGUGCACAUCUUGACGGUACCUAAUCAGAAAGCCACGGCUAACUACGUG